UAUUCCACUAGGCAUGCCAUGUAAGCAUUUAAUUAAAGAUAAAUCCAAUACUCUUAACAAUUCCAAACAAGGGUAUAACAACCUGCAUUUUGAAAGGUAUAACUCUUUACC